CUCUUCUCCCCUUUACCCCUCCCCAAGAUAGCAAGCAAUCCAAUAUAGGUUAAACAUGUGCAAUUAUUAUAAACAUAUUUCAUAUUCAUCAUGCUGAGCAAAAAUAUCAGAUCAAAAGGGAAAAAAACAAGCAAACAAAAAAGAAAAGAUAAAAAUACUAUGCUUUGAUCACAUUCAGUCUCCAUAGUUCUUUCUUUGAAUGUGGGAGACACUUUCUAUCACAAAUCUGUUGAAACUGCCUUGAAUCACCUUAUUGGUGAAAAGAACCAAAUCUAUCACUGUUGAUCAUCACAUAAUCUUGUUUCUAUGUACAGUGUUCUCUUGGUUCUGCUCACUUCAUUCAGCAUCAGUUCAUAUAUCUUUCCAGGCCUUUCUGAAAUCAGCCUGCUCAUCAUUUCUUGUAGAACAAAAAUAUUCCAAUACAUUCAUAUACAAUAACUUAUUCAGCCAUUCUCCAACUGAGGAGCACUCAUUCAUUUCCAGUUCCUUGCCUCUUAUUUUUUUGGUGGAAGCAUUUAGAGGUAUAAAUUUUCUUAUGAAUAAUUGCUUUUUCUGUAUCCCAUAUGUUACCUCAUUAUUGUUAUUCUCUUUAAUUAAAUUGAUUGAUUGAUUAACUCAUUCUUUAAGAUUAGCUUAUUCAGGGUCAAUUAGUUUUCAAUCUGUUUCUUUGAUCCUUUAUUAAAUAUAAUUUUAUAGCAUUAUGAUCUAAAAAGGAUAUUUUUUAAUAUUUCUGCUUUUCUGAUUUUAACUAUAAAGUUUUUAUGCCUUAAAAAAGGUACUCUUGGUACAGGUACCAUGAACCCAUUUAGUUCUCUCCAGAUAUCAAAUCUAGCUAAUCUAAAAUUCUAUUUAUUUCCUCGACUUAUUUUUUGGUGAGUUUUAUCUAGUUCUGAUCCUUUUCAGGAUAAUAAUAGAGAGAAAUCCCCUCCAUUAUUAAAGCCCCCCACUAUUAUAGUACUACUCUCUAUUUCUACCUAAAUUUAUUUAACUUUUUUUUUUUUAAUUUAGAUGCCAUAGUAUUUGGUGCAUAUAGAUUUAAUAUUGGUGUUCCUUCAUUGUCUAUGGCAUCUUUUAUUAAAAUGGAGUUACUCUGUUUCUCUCUUUGAAUUAAAUUUGUUUUAACUUAAACUUUGUCUGCAAUCAUGAUUACUACUACUGCUUUUUUUCCUAUCAGCUUAAGCAACUGUUAGUUUUAAAUGUUUCUAAAUGUUUUUUUUUUUUUGCUCUGUUUGUUUUAUGAGUGAGCUUAUCAAUUAGUUAUCCUAUUUUCCUCCUCAGUCCUCUCAGCCUUUUUUUUUACCCUAUUCCUCCUCUUCACAUCUAGUUUACUCCUAACCUCUACUUUCCUAUGCCAUUUAAAGAAUCCCAUUCAUAUCUUCUUUAUUCAACUCACCCUUCUAAGAGUUCUUCCCUUAACCUCUUUUCCCAUCCUCCUAAAUCUUAAUCUGCACACCCUUCUCCUUGUCCUCUUCUUUAUAAUUUUAGAAGAUUUUUAUAUCUUUUUAGAUGUACACAUUCCCUCUUUAACCCAGAUCAUAUAAUGUUAGGGGCCAUGCCUAUGUGUCAAUUCUCCCCACAGCUGUGACACAUAACACACUUGAAGGAAUUGCAAAUCAGCCUUUACUGAGGAGGAUGUUGCUUGGGAAUUGGGAAUGAAAUAAACUGGAGGGAAGAGAGAGGUCAGAGAAUGCAACUGCCUCUCAGUCUCCUAAUAUUAUCAUCCUCUCACGUGAAGGGAUCUAUUCUGCUGGUCAGAAUUAGAUCCCCAGUAGCCACUAACAGGUUGCUCCCAUAACAAUGUAAGAGUAAGAUUCCGGCACUAUCAGCGCUCCAUUCUCACCUGCUUCUUCUUAUCAAUUCUUCCUUUCCUGCCUCAUUUGGCAUGAGCCAAUUGCUCUUUAUUGCUUUUUCCUUCUCAGUUUUUUAGAAUCACCUUACCACAGUCAGCUCAAGCCAAAACUUUUCCUCAGUUGGCUAUUUCUCUGUCUACAAUAUCUCUCAAAUCUAUGCCAUCUCUACUUCUCAGCACAGCCAUAAAUCUAGUUUAGAUUCAUAUCCUUUCUCUCCUGGUCUCCCCAUUAUCAGCCUCUCUGUACUGUACUCCAUCUUCCAUAUAGUUCCAGAGGGAUUUUCUUAAAUUGCAGGUUCUACUGUGUCCCUCAGACUUAUAGUAAUAGAGCUGUGAAUCAAAUUCUGUGGAAUCCUUAUUACCUCUAGGUUCACAUGUAUGUAACUCCUCAGUUUGACAUUUGAAACUCUUCAUAACCUAGUCCCUUUCUACCUUCUCAGUGUUCAUAAAUGUUACUCUCCUACAUUCACCCUGCAAAGCAACUAUAAAGGCCUACUUGUUCUUCUAUACAUGGAAUGUUCAAUUUCCCCUCCACAUUCUUUACUCUAGCUUGUCCCCCUCUGCUUAGAAUCCACUCCUCUCUUAAGAAUCCUUGGUUUUCUUCAAGAUUAAGCUCAAGUACCAUCUUCUGUAGGAAAAUUCUUCCGAAAUUACCUUAUCUUCAUUUUAUUAAACUCUGUAUAUAUGUGAUACAUAUCUAGAUGUAUAUGCAUGUAUAUGUGUAUAUAUAAUAAUAUGUAUACAGAAUAUACAUACACACAAUCUUAAAUCUUAAAAGGACCCAGUCUUAAAAUUAAAUUAUGUUAGCUUAAACUAUUGUAAGACUUUAGGACACCCUGUUUCUAUUCAUGUUUCUCUUCCUAGAUGUGAGAUCCCCAAGGACAGAAAAUGUUUUACUUUUGUUCAUGCAUCCCUCAGUGCCCAUGCAUGAUCACAUAAUCCAACAUCCAGAGGCUGAAGUGAUCCCCUGAACACGAUGACUGAAGCGAUGUGGCAAGUAGUAUAUGAAACUUGGAGUUAGAAGACAAGUUCAUUUCUAGCCUUAGACACUUAAUAGUUGUGGAUCCCUGAACAGGCCAUGUUAUCGCUGUCAGCCUUAGUUUUCUCAUCUGUAAAAUGGGAAUAGCUUCUACCUCACAGGAUUUUGAAGAUAAAUGAGAUGUUAUGUAAAGAACUUUAAAAUACUUGAAGUGUUAUGCCAAUGUAUUACUGAUUUAGGAUUUAUGAAGAGGGUAAAGAGUAGAAAUAGAAGCGGGGUAACAGAAAACUAUUAAAUUUCCAGGGCUUACAAAAUAUAGUUUCUUAAGAACUAGUUAAUAAGAUUAUUCCCAAAUCAAAUCAGAGGAAUUAGGCUCUUUUUU
rnacentral:lncRNA from 1 species